rnacentral:rRNA from 1 species
AUUGAACGCUGGCGGCAGGCCUAACACAUGCAAGUCGAACGAGUGGCGGACGGGUGAGUAAUGUCUGGGCAACUGCCUGAUGGAGGGGGAUAAGUACUGGAAACGGUAGCUAAUACCGCAUACCAUCGGAUGUGCCCAGAUGGGAUUAGCUUGUCGGUGAGGUAACGGCUCACCUAGGCGACGAUCCCUAGCUGGUCUGAGAGGAUGCACAGCCACACGGGAACUGAGACACGGUCCAGACUCCUACGGGGGGCAGCAGUGGGGAAUAUUGCACAAUGGGCGCAAGCCUGAGGCAGCCAUGCCGCGUGUAUGAAGAAGGCCUUCGGGUUGUAAAGUACUUUCAGCGGGGAGGCGUUACCCGCAGAAGAAGCACCGGCUAACUCCGUGCCAGCAGCCGCGGUAAUUC